rnacentral:rRNA from 1 species
GUACGGCGAGUGAAGAGGGAAAAGCUCAAAGUUGGAACCUGGUAGGCAUAGCUUACCCGGAUUGUAAACUAAAGUUUUCGAGUCGUUUAGUCAGCCAGGUAAAUAAGUCCUCUGGAAAGGGGCGACAUAGAGGGUGAAAUCCCCGUCUUUGGCCUGAGUUUUGAUUAGGCGUUUGGCUUGGAAACGAAGAGUCAGGUUGUUUGGGAAUGCAGCCUAAAAUGGGAGGUAAAUCUCUCCUAAAGCUAAAUAUUGACGAAAGACCGAUAGCGAACAAGUACCGUGAGGGAAAGAUGAAAAGCACUUUGAAAAGAGGGUCAAAAAGUACGUGAAAUUGCUGAAAGGGAACCGUAUGAAAUCAGAUCUACUGGUAGGUAAUCAAUCUUUCCUUUGGGAAGGAUGCACUUGCCUACUAUGUAUGCCAGCGACAUUUUGGUUGGGAGGAAAAAAAUAAAGGAAAUGUAGCUUAGGUUUCGGCUUAGGUGUUAUAGUCCUUUAUAAAAUACUCUCGGCUGGAAUGAGGAACGCAGCAAACCGUAAGGCGAAGAUUUCAGGCGCUUAGAGGGAAUAAUUAGAGAAUUUCUGCUUCGGGUGGUGCUUUGAUUAUUACCUUUAACACGCUUGGAGUUCUUUUAAUU